UACGGGGGGAGCAAGCGUUGUUCGGAUUUACUGGGCGUAAAGGGCGCGUAGGCGGUCAGCACAAGUCAGUUGUGAAAUCUCCGGGCUUAACUCGGAAAGGUCAACUGAUACUGUGCGACUAGAGUGCAGAAGGGGCAAUCGGAAUUCUCGGUGUAGCGGUGAAAUGCGUAGAUAUCAGGAGGAACACCGGUGGCGAAGGCGGGUCUCUGGGCAACAACUGACGCUGAGGAGCGAAAGCGUGGGGAGCGAACAGG
rnacentral:rRNA from 1 species